CCUACGGGAGGCAGCAGUGGGGAAUAUUGCACAAUGGGGGAAACCCUGAUGCAGCAACGCCGCGUGAAGGAAGACGGUUUUCGGAUUGUAAACUUCUAUCAAUAGGGAAGAGCAGAAGACGGUACCUCUUGAAUAAGCCACGGCUAACUACGUGCCAGCAGCCGCGGUAAUACGUAGGUGACAAGCGUUGUCCGGAUUUACUGGGUGUAAAGGGCGUGUAGCCGGGCUGACAAGUCAGAUGUGAAAUCCCGUGGCUCAACCACGGAACUGCAUUUGAAACUGUCGGUCUUGAGUAUCGGAGAGGCAGGCGGAAUUCCUAGUGUAGCGGUGAAAUGCGUAGAUAUUAGGAGGAACACCAGUGGCGAAGGCGGCCUGCUGGACGACAACUGACGUUGAGGCACGAAAGCGUGGGGAGCAAACAGGAUUAGAUACCCCGAGUAGUC
rnacentral:rRNA from 1 species